rnacentral:rRNA from 1 species
CCCUUAGAUGUUCUGGGCCGCACGCACGCUACACUGACGAUGGCAACGAGUUUUUCCUUCGCCGAAAGGUGUGGGUAAUCUUUUGAAACAUCGUCGUGCUGGGGAUAGAUCAUUGCAAUUUUUGAUCUUGAACGAGGAAUUCCUAGUAAGCGCGAGUCAUCAGCUCGCGUUGAUUACGUCCCUGCCCUUUGUACACACCGCCCGUCGCUACUACCGAUUGAAUGGUUUAGUGAGGACUCCUGAUUGGCGCCGCCGCCCCGGCAACGGAGCAGCGGACUGCCGAAAAGUUGUUCAAACUUGAUCAUUUAGAGGAAGUAAAAGUCGUAACA